rnacentral:ncRNA from 1 species
CUCGCCCGUUCCGCACGGAACAUACGCGAGUCUCAUUUGGUAAAGCGAAUGAUUAGAGGCCUUGGGGCCGAAACGACCUCAAUCUAUUCUCAAACUUUAAAUGAGUAAGAUCUCUGACUUUCUUGAACUAUGAAGUCACGAGUAGAAAUUGGAUCAGAGUGCCAAGUGGGCCAUUUUUGGUAAGCAGAACUGGCCCUGUGGGAUGAACCAAAAGCAGAGUUAAGGCGUCCAACUCGACGCUCAUGGGACACUAUGAAAGGCAUUGGUUGCUUAAAACAGCAGGACGGUGACCAUAAAAGUCUGAAUCUGCUAAGGAGUGCGUAACAUCUCACUUACCGAAGCAACUAGCCCUGAAAAUGGAUGACGCUGAAGCGUCGUGCCUAUACUCUGUCGUCAACGGCAAGUGGGGUGGCUGCGUGCAUGCAGUAGGAGGGUCGCGGCGGGUGCGCAGAAGGGUCUGAGCGCGAGUCUGCCUGGAGCCGCCGUCAGAG